CGGCAGCAUAAUCUUCGGAUUGAUGGCGAGUGGCGGACGGGUGAGUAAUAUAUAGGAAUCUGCCUUGUAGUGGGGGAUAACUAUCCGAAAGGAUAGCUAAUACCGCAUAAUGAUUACGGUUUAAAGCAGGGGAUCUUCGGACCUUGCGCUACAAGUUGAGCCUAUACAAGAUUAGCUAGUUGGUGAGGUAAAGGCUCACCAAGGCGACGAUCUUUAGCUGGUCUGAGAGGAUGAUCAGCCACACUGGGACUGAGACACGGCCCAGACUCUUACGGGAGGCAGCAGUGGGGAAUAUUGGACAAUGGGCGCAAGCCUGAUCCAGCAAUACCGCGUGUGUGAAGAAGGCCUUCGGGUUGUAAAGCACUUUUGUUAGGGAGGAUGGUGAUUUUGGCGAAUACCCAAAGUCAUUGACGUUACCUAAAGAAUCAGCACCGGCUAACUCCGUGCCAGCAGCCGCGGUAAUACGGAGGGUGCAAGCGUUAAUCGGAUUUACUGGGCGUAAAGGGUGCGUAGGCGGUUACUUAAGUCAGAUGUGAAAUCCCCGGGCUCAACCUGGGAAUUGCAUUUGAUACUGGGUGACUUAGAAUGUGGUAGAGGGUAGCGGAAUUUCUGGUGUAGCGGUGAAAUGCGUAGAUAUCAGAA
rnacentral:rRNA from 1 species